UGGCGCUGCACUGCUCCCGCUGCUCCGUUGUUUCAUGCACCUCGCAACCGCGGCGAGCUGAAACCCUGAAAAAUAACCGGUGCGCUACGUGCGUAAAUCGUGAAUUAAUCGACAUCGCACCAGUGCGGCGGCGAGCGGAUGCCAGUCUAGUUGGAAUCAGUACACACGCUGUUGCGUUUACGUGCGGGGAACGUUUGGCGAUGUGCUCGUACUCGUACUCGCUGCGCCUGGUAGUGCCCGUCAGAGUCGACGUCCAGCAACGGCGGUGAUUGCGUGAUUACAUUACACACAGAAACUACACACAGAUUGAGAAAGAAGCGCGUGAAAUCAUCAAUUUUGGUAUCAUCAACAACCAACAGCGCACACAUCAACAGCAAUGGUUUGGAAGUGUUUAGGCGGUAAAGGUACGCAGAUCAAACAAUUUGUGUGAAGUUUUACUUGUUUAAGUAAUAAUACUUAACGAUUUCUGAGAAAUUAAACAUUUGCGAAGUAAUUUACGUACUAAUUUUCGAUAACGAUGUAUUUAAUUUAAUUGUUGUAAUAACUGCGUAUGCUUGAUGUUAAUUAUAAAAUUAUAGCUUUGGUAAUAAUGUGACAUCACAGCAAAUUUAAUAUUUAUUGCAUAUUUUGCAUAAUUUGUGUUUAUUUAUGUUUUUAUUUUGAUUGUACGAGCAUAGGUGGCGUUAGUAGUGUUAAUUUCGGGUCGGAAAUGCUCAAUGAUCAAGGUGUGGUGCAGUGUUGAGAUGACUCGGAUGACUCCUCGCGUGAAGUUAAGCGGAUCUCCGAGCUUAGCCGAUGUUAACACGACUUAAGUCGAUGUGCGCAACACCGCAGUGUUAACUCUGCUUCUGCUAGCGGCUGUUUAGUAUUGUGUUCGCAUUCGUCGGGUGUAGAUAAGAAUAAAAAAAUAACAAUACUUAAGUUAAGUCACAACUUAAGUCACUUUGAAAGUUGUAUAUAUUGUUACAAUUCGUGUGAAUUUUAAGUUUUGUUGAAUGCAAAUAAUUUCGAUUGUUUUUGGGUGUUGAAAAGGUGGUUUAAGUUGAGUUGGAGUUUAAGUUGGCUUAAACUGAGCCGUACUUAAAUUAGUCGUGUCACGAUCGGAUGGUUUUCGGUGCGUGCGCGUAAAUAAUUUCCUCUACACAAGAAUAACAAGUAACAAGUGAAGUGACCCGCAGGAAUUCCUGCGCGAGUUCACUUAAAACGACUUAAGUUAAGUCAAGUUGAAAAAAUAAAUUUCUAGUGCGUGUUACUGUUGCAUCGUCCCCGAAAAAAUAUAAUAACACACAAAAGAAAGUGUACUGACAUUACUUAAGUCACAUCACAUCACAUCAACCGGAAGUGAAUUGUUUAUUCCGAGGGUAAAAAACACCGUGAAAAUGUUGAAAUUAUUCCGCGGAAGUAAAUCUGGCAAACACAAGAAGGGCAAGGACAAGUUAGAUGCCAAAACAAGCGCGCAACAGUUGAUACUCGCCGAACAAGCGGACGCAAAAAACAGGAAU